rnacentral:rRNA from 1 species
UACGGGGGGGGCAAGCGUUGUUCGGAAUUACUGGGCGUAAAGGGCUCGUAGGCGGCCAACUAAGUCAGACGUGAAAUCCCUCGGCUUAACCGGGGAACUGCGUCUGAUACUGGAUGGCUUGAGAUUGGGAGAGGGAUGCGGAAUUCCAGGUGUAGCGGUGAAAUGCGUAGAUAUCUGGAGGAACACCGGUGGCGAAGGCGGCAUCCUGGACCAACACUGACGCUGAGGCACGAAGGUCAGGGGAGCAAACGGG